GGGGACUGUAAUUGUCCCUCAAAAAGUAAUCCUGAACUUUUUUUCUGUUUAAUAUCAGGGUAAACUUCAAAAAUAAUGAGUAUGUAAGUGGAAUAAAAUCAACCUGUGGUACAAAAAUAUUUUUAACAUCCCAGAUGUAUCCUCCAAUAGCUGACUGUAAAUGACACAUUUGCCCAAGAAUAUCUAAAUUUCAAAUCUACACAGGAAGUUCUUUGUUUGAGAGCAGGAUGGAGUUAUUUUACUGUGUUUACAUGCAGCUUGGAAGUUAACAAUAACUAAAAGAAUACACCAGGUGAGUUCAUAAAAUUUAUUCAUGAUUUUCCAACAGCAAUGUAGAAUACCUAUAGCAAUGUAACAAAACUAGUAAAUGGAUUCAAACUGGAAGCAGGUGGCUUAGAUUUCAUUGUGUUAUGCAACAAAUGAUUUUGCUUCAUAUAUAUUUUUGUUCAUUUAUUUAACAGCUUUUGUUUUGCAAAGUUCUAUUAAGCAGCUGCAAUUUCUAGUUUAUAAUGCUUUUAAUUUACUAAAAGGAAAAUUGGAUACUUUUAAAAUGAAAUUAUUCAAUGGGGUCAAUAAAAUUUAAGCCAGAAGAGUUAUCUCCAGAGGUGGCACUGCUGUAUUACAGGGUAAACAAUGCUACCAGUCAGCUGACCACUGUUUACUAAGUAAAUUCAGAGAAUUAUAGUAUGUGUUUUUAGCCUGUUAUUAAAUUGGUUUAUUGGUGUUGCACACAUUCAUGUUAAGGAAUAUAUAAACAGCAUACAGUAUGAAUGAAUGACUGAAUGGAGAUAAUUCAGUUAAGUGACCCAAUGUAUUGUGUUCAAAGAAGGCUCCAUCCAACAAUUCAAAGACAUGUUAAUGCAGUGAGGCAACUGAUGGCAAAUGAUGGCUUUGUGACGGUUAAUGAAAACUACAUGGUAUUUUACACUGAUGGUGGCGAACAGUGACUGAAAAUUUCUCAACCAAUAGUUACAUUUAGUUGAAAGUGAUGGUAUAAUCUUAUGCAGACUAUACUGAAUUAUAACAAACAGUGGAAAACAUUGAUAUACUACAAUGACAGUGGAUCUGUAUAGAAACUGGUGGCAUUUUAGCUCCAUAUUGUUCCACCUAGUGAAGAAAUGUCAAAAUUCAUAAGCAGUUUUGUUAUACUACAGACUAUUAUGAAAUUAUAAAUUAAGAUGUGACAUGCAUAAUGGUUUCUGAUUUUCAUUUCAGUCCAGUUCUGUCACCAACAUGUUUCCAUGGUAUUUCCAUGGAUUUCCACAGUUAUUUGCCAUGGCAAGCCGUCCGAAUACUCCACGGAUUGCCAUGGAAUUUCACUGGUUUCCGCGGUCAUCUGUGGUGUACCACGGAAAGCCGUGGAUUUCCAUGGAAAGCCAUGGAUUUCCAUGGAACCCUGUGGCAUUCCAUUGAAAUCCAUGGAACUCCACAGAUUUUUUUUUUGGAUUUUUUUUUCAUAAAAAGAUUAUGUAAAUUGGCAGUCCGAAUACUCCAUGGAAUAUUUUCCAUGGAUUUCCAUAGAAUUCCAUGGCAAAUCUAGAGACGGGUUACUAUAGGGAAUUUACCUUUGUCAGUCUUUGAAUUUUUGUACGUCAGUCUACAUUUUUUUUGUGUCACUCUUUGAAUUUUUGUAAUGUUGCAAAUGUUUUGCAGUUCUCAUGAGAUUUAGUUAACAACUGUCAGUCGUUAUAUGCAUGGAGGCUUGUUUGGUGUCGAAAUAUAAAGAUUUAAUUAUAUUCUUUCUACAGUACAUAUUUUGAGUUAAAUGAAUGGAACUGUAUAGACAGCAACAAGUAUUGAUUGGCAUGCUUGAUAUUUGUGAGUCUGCUUUGAAAAAUCACAAUACCUCAUCAUUCCUAACAGUCUGAUGUAACAUCAUAUUUUUAAAGAAUUUACUGUGUAAAGAAAUGUAGAUUUUGACAAAAGAUCUAACAUUUGCAAAAGUACCGAUAUUGUGUUAUGUAUUGAGCUAUAUAUAUAUAUGUAUUUUACUGGAUCAACCAUUCGAUGUACCAUCAGAAGAACUAUUCAAGGAGCUCAACUGGAUGAAAUUCCAUGACCGAAUCAACUACAAAAAAGCAAUUUUGGUAAAUCUUUAAAUGGGUUGAGCUCUGAUUAUCUUAAAGUAAAGUUUACAUAUUUUCAAAAUAAGUUGUUAAGAUCUUUUUACAUUGUUGUUUGUUCAAUAUGUUUAUAAAUGAAAAAGUAUAGAUAUCUAAACAGA